GACGAACGCUGGCGGCGUGCUUAACACAUGCAAGUCGAGCGGUAAGGCCCUUUCGGGGGUACACGAGCGGCGAACGGGUGAGUAACACGUGGGUGACCUGCCCUUAGCUCUGGGAUAAGCCUGGGAAACUGGGUCUAAUACCGGAUAUGACCUCAUGACUCAUGUUGUGGGGUGGAAAGCCUUGUGCGGCUAGGGAUGGGCCCGCGGCCUAUCAGCUUGUUGGUGGGGUAAUUGCCUACCAAGGCGACGACGGGUAGCCGGCCUGAGAGGGCGACCGGCCACACUGGGACUGAGACACGGCCCAGACUCCUACGGGAGGCAGCAGUGGGGAAUUGUUCGCAAUGGGCGCAAGCCUGACGACGCAACGCCGCGUGGGGAUGAAGGUCCUCGGAUCGUAAACCCCUGUCGAGCGGGACGAAUGGCCCACGA
rnacentral:rRNA from 1 species